UUUUAUUCCAGAAGUUUGGUCCUUAAGGGGUUAAGGGGUUAACCAGUCCCUGGGGUGUAAUGUCAUUGGGUGUUACUUACAAGCUGAGGGUAAUGGGAGAUGUAGUUAAGAAUCCAGCCUGCUUUCAUUAUCUAAGGCAGGAGUCUCCUCUAUUGUUACACGGCAUUUCUCAGUAUUCUCAGUCACUUUUUGUACGUGUUAGGAUGUCCAAAAUCGCCCACUGGCGGGCCCCAUUUUUAUAUAACUCGAAUUAUGUUAACCUUAACAAAAGUUGACAAUUGGUGGAGUUUAAGUCAAGAUCCAAUGCCUUUAUAAACUUU